rfam:Pteropus alecto contig94391, whole genome shotgun sequence.
GGCUCCAUAGUGUAGUGGUUAGCAUGUCUGCUUUACAUGCAGAAGGUCAUGGGUUCACCCCCCAGGUGGAACCA